rnacentral:rRNA from 1 species
GUAGGGGGCAAGCGUGGUCCGGAUUUAUUGGGCUUAAAGAGCGUGUAGGCGGCUAGAUAGGUCCGUUGUGAAAACUCGAGGCUCAACCUCGAGACGUCGAUGGAAACCAUCUAGCUAGAGUCCGGAAGAGGAGAGUGGAAUUCCUGGUGUAGCGGUGAAACGCGCAGAUAUCAGGAAGAACACCCGUGGCGAAGGCGGCUCUCUGGUACGUGACUGACGCUGAGACGCGAAAGCGUGGGGAGCGAACAGGAUUAGAUACCCUGGUAGUCCACGCUGUAAACGAUGGAUACUAGGCGUGGCUUGUAUCGACCCGAGCCGUGCCGGAGCUAACGCGUUAAGCAUCCCGCCUGGGGAGUACGCACGCAAGUGUG